rnacentral:tRNA from 1 species
GCAGUCGUGGCUGAGUGGUUAAGGCGAUGGAACUAGAAAUCCAUUCGGGUCUCCCCGCACAGUUUGGAAUCAUGUCGACUGCU